AGAUAGAGUCAGGGUGGAGUGCAGUGGUGUGAUCUCAGCUCACUGCAGCCUCCACCUCUCCUGGGUUCAAGCAAUUCUUCUGCCUUAGCCUCCUGAGUAGCUGGGAUUGCAGGAAUGUGCCACCACGCCCGGCUAAUUUUUGUAUUUUUAGUAGAGAUGGGGUUUCACCAUGUUGGCCAGACUGGUCUCAAACUUCUGACCUCUAGUGAUCCACCUGCCUCACCCUCCCAAAGUGCUGGGAUUACAGGCGUGAGCCACUGUGCCUGGCCUCAACUCUAUUCUUUCCCUUCCCUUUCCUGCCCUGUAGUCUUUCCAUUCCCAGGCCAACCCAGAGAGUUGCUGAGCCUGUGGGAUUGAUGUGAGGAAGGUCUCUGAAGUCCCUCUUGUUCCUCUUCUCCAUCCCCAGCUGCUGUCCCUCAAUUUGGUCCUCACUUCACCCAUGUUGACAGUUGUGUCCUAGCCAGUCUUCCCGCUGUUGUCCUACCAUGCUGUUGCACUCCCUUCACUGCUGAUAGAAUGAUCAUGUCACCCCUGACUGCAAAUCUCUAGUUGUUCCCCGUUGCCUGUAGAGCAACAUCCAAAGUCCCACAAUCUGGCCCCACCCUCUUCAGACUGGUUCCCUGAUACUCCAGACUCUUCUCUCCACACACCCCUCCACAGCCUCCAUAACCUUCUCUCUUCUGAACACAUGCAAGCUCUUUUUAAAGAUUCUCGGCCAGGUGCGGUGGCUCAAGCCUGUAAUCCCAGCACUUUGGGAGGCCAAGGCGGACGGAUCACAAGGUCAGGAGAUCAAGACCAUCCUGGCUAACACGGUGAAACCCUGUCCCUACUAAAAAUACAAAAAAUUAGCUGGGCAUGGUGGCACACACCUGUAAUCCUAGCUACUCAGGAGGCUGAGGCAGGAGAAUCACUUGAACCUGGGAAGCGGAUGUUGCAGUGAACUGAGAUCACGCCACUGCACUCCAGCCUGGACGACAGAGUGAGACUCCGUCUCAAAAAUAUAUACAUAUAUAAAAUAAAUAAAUAAAUAAAGAUCCUGUGGCUUUGCAAGUGUGGUUCUUGCCUUCCUCUUUACUGUUUGCUAGGUUUCUUUCAUCUCUCAAGAUCCAACUCAGAUUCCAGCUCAGUAGAGCCUUCCCUGACUCUCCCAGACAGCUUAAUUACUCUCUCCUCUAUGAUCACACUGUGUCUCACCCUGUGUCUGCCCUCACCCUGUUACAGUGCUGAUCAUGUGCCAUCACCUCUUGCCCUGGCUUCUGUGUGAUUCUCUGUACUAUUUGCUUCUCAAAGGCAGGAAUCAAGGUUCUUUCUUGGUUUCCCUAGCCCAGUGCUUGGCAUGGAAUGGUUUGUGUAUGGAGAGACUACACAGAGGUGCGAGGAGAUAGUAAGUGUCCCAUUUUGAGGGUAGAUUCCUUUAGAGGAUUGGUGCCAGGUCCUGGAAGGCCUUGAAUGCCCGGCCAGGUGACUCAGACUUGCUUUUCUGAAGGGUUCCACACAUUGCAGCCGGUGGCAGGAAGCGAGGCCUGAGUGUACCUUGCUCACUUACUGUUUUUUUUUUUUUUGGAGAUGGGGUCUGUCUCUGUCACCCAGGCCAGGGUGCAGUAGCGCAAUCAUGGCUCACUGCAGCCUCGACCUCCUGGGCUCAGGCAGUUCUCCUGCCUCAGCCUCCAGUGUAGCUGGGACCACAGGUACCCACGACGAGACCUGGCUGAUUUUUUUUUUUUUUUGAGACGGAGUCUCACUCUGUUGCCCAGGCUGGAGUGCAAUGGAGUGAUCUCGACUCACUGCAAUCUCCCCGCCUCCCAGGUUCAAGUGAUUCUCUUGCCUCAGCUUCCCAAGUAGCUGGGGUUACAGGCGCCUGCCACCACACCCGGCUAAUUUUUGUAUUUUUAGUAGAGACUGGGUUUCAUCAUGCUGGCCAGGCUGGUCUCAAACUCCCAACCUCAGGUGAUCCGUCCACCUCAGCCUCCCAAAAUGCUGGGAUUACAGGUAUGAGCCACUGCACCCGGCCUAAUUUUCGUAUUCUCUGUAGAGACGGGGUUUCAUCAUGAUGCCCAGGCUGGUCUUAACUCCUGGGCUCAAGCGAUUCUCUCACCUCAGCCUCUUAGAUAGCUGGGAUUAUGUAUAUGUGUUUUUAAAAUCAAAAUAACAUGACCAUAUUAUAGAAAAUUUGGAAAACAGAAAAUAAGUCUUCCAUAUUUCUACCAGUCAUUUGCAACCAUUGUUAAUUAUUUAUUUAUUUAUUGAGAUGGAGUCUCACUCUGUCCCCCAGACUGGAGUGCAGUGGUGUGAUCUCGGCUCGCUGCAAGCUCCACCUCCUGGGUUCACACCAUUCUCCCACCUCAGCCUCCAGAGUAGCUGGGACUACAGGCGCCCGCCACCACGCCCGGCUAAUUUGGUUUUGUAUUUUUAGUAGAGACAGGGUUUCACCGUGUUAGCCAGGAUGGUCUCGAUCUCCUGACCUCGUGAUCUGCCCACCUUGGCCUCCCAAAGUGCUGCGAUUAUAGGCGUGAGCCACCAUGCCCGACCAGAAAGCCUGUUCUGUAUUGCUGCACCAUCUUCAUAGCUGUGAUGCUUAGUGGCGUUGUGGGCCUUCAAGGGGAUGCGUACCAAAACAUACCUGUGGUCUCUGUCAUUGGAUGUUUGUUUCGUGCUUUUUUCUCCUAUUGUAAGUCCUGGUCCUAUGAAUAUCAUUGCAGGUACAGAUUUUUACAUGUUUUUGUGAUAUUUUCUUAGGACAGAUUCUCAGGUAUCAGGUCAGAGAGCACCAAGGUCAAUUGUGGCUCUUUGUGCACUGGGACCCAGCUAGCCACUCUGGGGGUGAUUGCUUUUUCGUGCUCUGUGACACUCAGCCUCAUCUCCAAAGCCAAUAGGACUUCACAGAGGUUCCAGAGUGUUGCUGACUCUCUGCCUCUCAGCAUGACCCUGAAUUUUUAAUGUUUUAAAAUUUAUUUAUUUAUUUAUUUUUCCCUGAGUUGAGUCUCGCUCUGUUGCCCAGGCUGGAGUGCAGUGGCACGAUCUUGGCUCACUGCAACCUCUGCCUCCUGGGUUCAAGUGAUUCUCCUGCUGCAGCCUCCUGAGUAGCUGGGAUUACAGGCACCCGCCACCAUGCCUGGCUAAUUUUUGUACUUUUAGGAGAGAUGGGGUUUCACCUUGUUAGCCAGACUGGUCUUACACUCCUGACCUCAGGUGAUCUACCCGCCUCAGCCUCCCAAAGUGCUGGGAUUACAGGCAUGAGCCACCGUGCCUGGCCAGAAUUUAUUUAUUAUUAUUAUUAUUGUUUAUUUUUUUGAGACAGAGUCUUGCUCUGCUGCC
rnacentral:lncRNA from 1 species